rnacentral:rRNA from 1 species
UAGAGUGAGAUAGAGGCAAGCGGAAUUCCAUGUGUAGCGGUAAAAUGCGUAAAUAUAUGGAGGAACACCAGAGGCGUAGGCGGCUUGCUGGGUCUUUACUGACGCUGAGGCACGAAAGCGUGGGGAGCAAACAGGAUUAGAUACCCUGGUAGUCCACGCCGUAAACGAUGAGUACUAAGUGUCGGGUAAAACUGGUACUGAAGUUAACACAUUAAGUACUCCGCCUGAGUAGUACGUACGCAAGUAUGAAACUUAAAGGAAUUGACGGGACUCCGCACAAGCGGUGGAUCAUGUUGUUUAAUUCGAAGAUACACGAAAAACCUUACCAGGUCUUGACAUUUUCUUGCGAAGUUAUAGAAAUAUAAUGGAGGUUAUCAGGAAAACAGGUGGUGCAUGGUUGUCGUCAGCUCGUGUCGUGAGAUGUUAGGUUAAGUCCUAAAACGAGCGCAACCCUUGUCGUUAAUUGCCAGCAUGUAAUGAUGGGGACUUUAACGAGACUGCCAAUGAAAAAUUGGAGGAAGGUGGGGAUUACGUCAAAUCAUCAUGCCCCUUAUGAUCUGGGCUACAAACGUGAUACAAUGGUUGAUACAAAGAGUAGCUGAAACGCGAGUUCUUAACCAAUCUCAAAAAAUCAAUCUCAGUUCGGAUUGAAGUCUGCAACUCGACUUCAUGAAGUUGGAAUCGCUAGU